UCUCAAACAUCUGCUGGAUCCAAACCUCGGGACCUGAUCUCAAACAUCUGCUGGAUCCAAACCUCGGGACAGGGUCUCAAACAUCUAGAGGCUGGAGAAUUCCAGAGGAGGAAGUUCAGGAUCGUCCAGAUGACGAGAGGACACUGAGGGGACCAGCUGAGCUCAGAGUCACAUGACAGUCUGCCACACAUGUGCUGAUGCUGCACAUACACAUCUGGCUGCAGAUGUUGUCAUGGCGACAGGCAGUGACAGACAGCGCACUGCCUCUGACCUGCCAAAUAAUGAGCUGUCCUCUACAUCCAAGCACUGCCUCUGACCUGCCAAAUAAUGAGCUGUCCUCUACAUCCAAGCACUGCCUCUGACCUGCCAAAUAAUGAGUGUUUGUCAGGGGCUGCUCACAAGAUUGAGAGAGGAAGAAGAAGAAGAGGAGGAUUAUUCUUCACCAUGUCAACAUGAUUGCGUGAAUGAAGAUCACAAUCAGAUGAAUGUGUUAAUCCCUGG